rnacentral:rRNA from 1 species
GACGGAGGAGGCAAGCGUUACUCGGAAUUACUGGGCGUAAAGCGUGCGUAGGUGGUUCGUUAAGUCUGAUGUGAAAGCCCUGGGCUCAACCUGGGAAUGGCAUUGGAAACUGGCGGACUGGAGUGCGGUAGAGGGUAGCGGAAUUCCCGGUGUAGCAGUGAAAUGCGUAGAGAUCGGGAGGAACAUCCGUGGCGAAGGCGGCUACCUGGACCAGCACUGACACUGAGGCACGACAGCGUGGGGAGCAAACAGG